rnacentral:rRNA from 1 species
UACGUAGGGGGCUAGCGUUGUCCGGAUUUAUUGGGCGUAAAGAGCGUGUAGGCGGCCAGGUAGGUCUGGUGUGAAAACUCGAGGCUUAACCUCGAGAUGUCAUCGGAAACCAUCUGGCUAGAGUCCGGAAGAGGAGAGUGGAAUUCCUGGUGUAGCGGUGAAAUGCGUAGAUAUCAAGAGGAACACCUGCGGCGAAGGCGGGUUGCUGGGCCGACACUGACGCUGAGGCGCGAAAGCUAGGGGAGCGAACGGG